UAAGGAAUAUUGCUCACUGGGAGAAAUCCUGAAGCAGCAACGCCGUGUGGAGGAUGAAGGGUCUAUGACUUGUAAACUCCUGUAAAGAAGGAAAAAAUUCCCAUUUGAUGGGAGAUGAUGGUACUUCUGGAGUAAGCCCCGGCUAACUACGUGCCAGCAGCCGCGGUAAUACGUAGGGGUCAAGCGUUGUCCGGAUUUACUGGGUGUAAAGGGUGCUCAGGCGGAUUUGUAAGUCAGAGGUGAAAUCUUACAGCUUAACUGUGAAACUGCCUUUGAUACUGAAAGCCUAGAGUAUGGAAGAGAGUGAUGGAAUAUCUGGUGUAGAAGUGAAAUGCGUAGAUAUCAGAUAGAACACCAAUGGCGAAGGCAGUCACUUGGUCCAUUACUGACGCUAAAGCA
rnacentral:rRNA from 1 species